UUCUCCCAGUAACGGCGAGUGAACGGAGAUUAGCCCAGCGCUUAAGCCUAUCCGCGUUUGUGGACAGGGCAAUGUGGCGUUUAGGCUGGAACCUGGGGUGGCCAAUCUGCUCGAAGUCCAGCUCCGAAUAUGGCUUGGAUAUGAACUAGAAAGGGUGAAAGUCCCGUACGAGCAGAUAUCACGUUUUGGGCCGCUCUUAGAUGUUCUGGUCUUGGAGUCGGAUUGCUUGAGAAUGCAGUCCAAAGUGGGUGGUAAACUCCAUCCAAGGCUAAAUACUGGCACGAGUCCGAUAGUAGACAAGUACCGCGAGGGAAAGUUGAAAAG
rnacentral:rRNA from 1 species